UACGAAGGGUGCAAGCGUUACUCGGAAUUACUGGGCGUAAAGCGUGCGUAGGUGGUGAGUUAAGUCUGUCGUGAAAGCCCCGGGCUCAACCUGGGAAUGGCGAUGGAUACUGGCUCGCUAGAGUGCGGUAGAGGAGAGUGGAAUUCCCGGUGUAGCGGUGAAAUGCGUAGAGAUCGGGAAGAACAUCGGUGGCGAAAGCGCUCUACUGGACCGCAACUGACACUCAGGGACGAAAGCUAGGGGAGCGAAUGGG
rnacentral:rRNA from 1 species